rnacentral:rRNA from 1 species
UACGGAGGGUGCGAGCGUUGUUCGGAAUUACUGGGCGUAAAGGGGGCGUAGGCGGUUUGUUAAGUCAAAUGUGAAAGUCCACGGCUUAACUGUGGAAGUGCAUUUGAGACUGGCAGGCUAGAGUUUCGGAAGGGAAAGUGGAAUUCCUGGUGUAGGAGUGAAAUCCGUAGAUAUCAGGAGGAAUACCGGUGGCGAAGGCGACUUUCUGGACGAAUACUGACGCUGAGGCCCGAAAGCGUGGGGAGCAAACAGG